UAGGGAAUCUUCCACAAUGGACGCAAGUCUGAUGGAGCAACGGCCGCGUGAGUGAAGAAGGUUUUCGGACCGUAAAGCUCUGUUGUUGGUGAAGAAGGAUAGAGGUAGUAACUGGCCUUUAUUUGACGGUAAUCAACCAGAAAGUCACGGCUAACUACGUGCCAGCAGCCGCGGUAAUCGUAGGUGGCAAGCGUUGUCCGGAUUUAUUGGGCGUAAAGCGAGCGCAGGCGGAAGAAUAAGUCUGAUGUGAAAGCCCUCGGCUUAACCGAGGAAUUGCAUCGGAAACUGUUUUCUUGAGUGCAGAAGAGGAGAGUAGAACUCCAUGUGUAGCGGUGGAAUGCGUAGAUAUAUGGAAGAAUACCAGUGGCGAAGGCGGCUCUCUGGUCUGCAACUGACGCUGAGGCUCGAAAGCAUGGGUAGCGAACAGGAUUAGAUACCCUGGUAGUCCAUGCCGUAAACGAUGAGUGCUAAGUGUUGGGAGGCUUCCGCCUCUCAGUGCUGCAGCUAACGCAUUAAGCACUCCGCCUGGGGGAGUACGACCGCAAGGUUGAAACUCAAGUG
rnacentral:rRNA from 1 species